AAAAAAAAAAAAAAAAAAGAAGCUAGCUAAAAUUGAUCGUGAACGGAGAUACUGAAAAUGAUAAAUCAAUGAAAGUCCAAAUGCCAAUUCAAGAACUGUCUCUUCAAUAAAUGAAGAGCAAUGUUAUUUACUAGUUUGAUGAAAAACCAGAAACUCAGAAGCUAGCUCAUUUCAGAAACUAGUUUCUUCAAUCAAUGUAAAACUCUCUUUUCCAUUGGAGGAAUAUUUCCAUAAUCGUGAAAGUACUAAUCAAUAAAUGACCACACUCUCAGGAACCUCUGCGAUCAAGAAAUGAACCAUAGAAACAUUCUCUCCUGCAAUAAAAGGAAAAGGAAGAGUGAGAUAUACCAUGGGGAGUUACUUACUUACCGCUACAGAGAGAGAGAGCGAGAACAAGAACGGGAGCAUCUCAACCCCACAACCCUAACGUUAUUCAUGGGAAGAAGUGGCUGGGAGAGCUGAGCCAACCCAGAAGAGAACAAACCCAUUAACAUAGCCAACUCACAUGAGAACAAACCCAGUAACAAUAUCCUUCCUGACACUCUAUAACAACAACACGUGAAUAGGGAAAAGAGAUGGAGGGCGGUGUUAUCGAGAAAGGAAGAUUUAUAAUUAUCAUUUUUUGUUUUC
rnacentral:misc_RNA from 1 species